rnacentral:rRNA from 1 species
UACGUAGGUCCCGAGCGUUGUCCGGAUUUAUUGGGCGUAAAGCGAGCGCAGGUGGUUUAUUAAGUCUGGUGUAAAAGGCAGUGGCUCAACCAUUGUAUGCAUUGGAAACUGGUAGACUUGAGUGCAGGAGAGGGGAGUGGAAUUCCAUGUGUAGCGGUGAAAUGCGUAGAUAUAUGGAGGAACACCGGUGGCGAAAGCGGCUCUCUGGCCUGUAACUGACACUGAGACUCGAAAGCGUGGGGAGCAAACAGG